rnacentral:rRNA from 1 species
UACGGAGGGUGCAAGCGUUAUCCGGAUUCACUGGGCUUAAAGGGCGUGUAGGCGGAUUAUUAAGUCAGUGGUGAAAUCUCCGGGCUCAACCCGGAAACUGCCAUUGAUACUAUUAGUCUUGAAUUCUGUUGAGGUGGGCGGAAUAUGUCAUGUAGCGGUGAAAUGCUUAGAUAUGACAUAGAACACCGAUUGCGAAGGCAGCUCACUAAGCAGAUAUUGACGCUGAGGCACGAAAGCGUGGGGAUCAAACAGG